rnacentral:rRNA from 1 species
GGAUGGUUGUCUGAACCGCAUGGUUCAGACAUAAAAGGUGGCUUCGGCUACCACUUACAGAUGGACCCGCGGCGCAUUAGCUAGUUGGUGAGGUAACGGCUCACCAAGGCGACGAUGCGUAGCCGACCUGAGAGGGUGAUCGGCCACACUGGGACUGAGACACGGCCCAGACUCCUACGGGAGGCAGCAGUAGGGAAUCUUCCGCAAUGGACGAAAGUCUGACGGAGCAACGCCGCGUGAGUGAUGAAGGUUUUCGGAUCGUAAAGCUCUGUUGUUAGGGAAGAACAAGUGCCGUUCAAAUAGGGCGGCACCUUGACGGUACCUAACCAGAAAGCCACGGCUAACUACGUGCCAGCAGCCGCGGUAAUACGUAGGUGGCAAGCGUUGUCCGGAAUUAUUGGGCGUAAAGGGCUCGCAGGCGGUUUCUUAAGUCUGAUGUGAAAGCCCCCGGCUCAACCGGGGAGGGUCAUUGGAAACUGGGGAACUUGAGUGCAGAAGAGGAGAGUGGAAUUCCACGUGUAGCGGUGAAAUGCGUAGAGAUGUGGAGGAACACCAGUGGCGAAGGCGACUCUCUGGUCUGUAACUGACGCUGAGGAGCGAAAGCGUGGGGAGCGAACAGGAUUAGAUACCCUGGUAGUCCACGCCGUAAACGAUGAGUGCUAAGUGUUAGGGGGUUUCCGCCCCUUAGUGCUGCAGCUAACGCAUUAAGCACUCCGCCUGGGGAGUACGGUCGCAAGACUGAAACUCAAAGGAAUUGACGGGGGCCCGCACAAGCGGUGGAGCAUGUGGUUUAAUUCGAAGCAACGCGAAGAACCUUACCAGGUCUUGACAUCCUCUGACAAUCCUAGAGAUAGGACGUCCCCUUCGGGGGCAGAGUGACAGGUGGUGCAUGGUUGUCGUCAGCUCGUGUCGUGAGAUGUUGGGUUAAGUCCCGCAACGAGCGCAACCCUUGAUCUUAGUUGCCAGCAUUCAGUUGGGCACUCUAAGGUGACUGCCGGUGACAAACCGGAGGAAGGUGGGGAUGACGUCAAAUCAUCAUGCCCCUUAUGACCUGGGCUACACACGUGCUACAAUGGACAGAACAAAGGGCAGCGAAACCGCGAGGUUAAGCCAAUCCCAC